rnacentral:rRNA from 1 species
CCUACGGUGGGCAGCAGUGAGGAAUAUUGGUCAAUGGCCGAGAGGCUGAACCAGCCAAGUCGCGUGAGGGAUGACGGCCCUACGGGUUGCACACCUCUUUUGUCGGGGAGCAAAGAGAGUCACGUGUGGCUCAUUGAGAGUACCCGAAGAAAAAGCAUCGGCUAACUCCGUGCCAGCAGCCGCGGUAAUACGGAGGAUGCGAGCGUGAUCCGGAUUUAUUGGGUUUAAAGGGUGCGCAGGCGGAGGUGCAAGUCAGUGGUCAAAUUGCGGGGCUCAACCCCGUACUGCCGUUGAAACUGCAUCCCUUGAGUGCGCGAGAAGUAUGCGGAAUUCGUGGUGUAGCGGUGAAAUGCUUAGAUAUCACGAAGAACUCCGAUUGCGAAGGCAGCUUACUAAACUGCCACUGACAUUGAUGCUCGAAAGUGUGGGUAUCAAACAGGAUUAGAUACCCGAGUAGUC